AGAGAGAGACAUGCGCGCAUAUCAAUAAGCGGAGGAAAAGAAACUAACAAGGAUUCCCCUAGUAACGGCGAGUGAAGCGGGAAGAGCUCAAAUUUGAAAUCUUAAAGGGUUUCCCUUUACGAAUUGUAGUUUAAAGAAGUGUUUUCUGUUGAGGUUUUGGUAAAAGUUCUUUGGAAUAGGACAUCAUAGAGGGUGAGAAUCCCGUAUUUGACCUUUACUUUCAACUUUGUGAUACACUUUCAAAGAGUCGGAUUGUUUGGGAAUGCAGUCCAAAAUGGGUGGUAAAUUUCAUCUAAAGCUAAAUAUUGGCGAGAGACCGAUAGCGAACAAGUACCGUGAGGGAAAGAUGAAAAGAACUUUGAAAAGAGAGUUAAACAGUACGUGAAAUUGUCAAAAGGGAAGCGUUUGACACCAGUGUUGUUUUUCUGAAAAUCAAUUAAAGAACUGUUUAUGCUAAGUUGUUUAGACUUUAUCAGCUAACUGUUUAGUUUUGAGCUUUCCUUUAAUGCACUUUUCAGUUAACAAGUCAACAUCAAUUUCUUUUGCUGUAAAAAAGCUUGAGGAAGGUGGCUUGAGAUUCGUCUUAAGUGUUUAUAGCCUCUUGCCUAUGCAGUCGGAGAGAUUGAGGUCUGCAGCGUAGAUCCUUCGGGGCUAAAUGCGUUUGUGCUAAGUUAUAGCAUUUUAUAGACAACUUGUUGACUAUGAUUUGUCUUGUAGCUUACUCGCUUAUGUUAUUUUACCUACGCUUAGGAUGUUGACGCAUGAGAUAUACGC
rnacentral:rRNA from 1 species